AAAUCAGCUGAUCGCUUUAAGUAUUAUGAUGCGCAUUAAGUAUUAGCGCACAAAAUUCUCUCUGAUUUUGAUCAAAUCAAAAAAUAGUAUUUUUAUAGCUUUUACUUCAUCUUAUAUAUUUUUCUCUCGACAUUUCAAACAUUAUUGACAGUUGUAUUUAUAAUUUUUGGUAUUCACCAAAUGUGACAUUGUGACAAUAACAUAUGAUAAUUUAAAUUACACGAUGGACACGUUCAGAAAACUCAACCUCGUUGGAUAGCAAUCGAAUGUAAUUGGUUCUUACUUCUAGAACCAGCAAAUCGACGUCGAGUGUUAACAAGACGUGCUCAACGGUGUUGUGCAACAGUUGUAUUUCCUGAACGCACCCAAUAUAUACUAAUGUCAAGGACAAGCAUGUAGUAGCAUCUGGCUGUUUGGUCUCAUCAGUUGUGGCGUUUUGCAUUUGUAUGUCUUGUCAUUUCUGAUCUCUUCGUUCGCGUGCAGAAUGAAUAUCCUUUGCAUUAUAUGUCAUGACUUUUUGCAACCAUCCGAGAAAAUCGUUUUCACUCAUUGUGGACAUGUGUUUCAUUUAAGCUGCUUGUCACGAUGGCUUGAAAGAUCGAAAACUUGUCCACAAUGUCGUGAAAAAGUGACAGAAAAUAAUAUCUAUAAAGUUUAUUUCACGUUUCCGAACAGUGAAACAAUCUCAGAUAAUGCAGACAGUUCGUCUUUUCAAGGAAGAAUCGAUAGUCUGCAAUUUCAAAUUUUACUAAAGGAUAAAAAUAUCAAAUAUCAUGCCUCAAAGAAUGUGACUCUAGAAAAACAAAAUGCUGGCCUUAGACAGGAAGUACGCAAAGUAGAAAGUGAAAUUAAUCGGAAAAAUUGUGCUAUUCAUGCUUUAAAGGAACAAAUAACAUAUUUUAAGGAAAAGUAUGGGAAAUAUAAAGUUCUAGCACAGAAAUUUUCUCAAAAAGAAAAAGAAUUGGAACAAUUCCAACACAUACGUGAUACAUUUUCAAAGGGCUCAUUAGAAGAUAUUAGUAGAGUGAUUGAGAAAACAAAAGAUCAUGAUACUUUAAUUACUUGCAUUUCUGUUAUGAGAAAGGAAUUUGAAGAACGUUUAGAAUUAUGCAAAAGUGAAAAUUUAUCCCUACGACAUCAAGUUAGUAAACUAGAAAACUUUAACACUCAAUCAAGACAAAGCCAUGUUAAACAAUCUGGCAAUCAAAAAGAUGAAAAUUCUUUCAAUAUUAUACAAAAAAUAGAUGUUUAUGGCCAGACAAACACAAAACGGAAAACAGAAAAUCCAAAUACUUCAUUAUCUCUAAGGAUAAAAACUGACAUUAAGAUGAACCAGAAAGGCUUAAGCACUACAUCUGAAUGUCCAAUAAAUAUAAAACGAGCGAAGCUGCGUUUGCAACCAGAUUAGUUUAUCGAUUGACCCAUCUCUUCACCGCUUCCGCCCAAUUGGACUCAUUUUCGUCUUCCUUCUCUCCAUCUGCCUCCUCACGUUCACCUCUCUCCUGUUCCUGUUCGCUGGACAACGCGGCCGAUGGUGUUUGCGCCCAGAAUUGUGAGAAAGGUCCUCCUGGUCUGAGUCUGCAAGGCACCAGGACACAUUCACAGGGGGUGCAUCACACACAUUCCACAACACGUCUAAAGUGUCAUUUGUCAAUUGUCUUUAUGGUGUAUAUUGGACUAUCUAUUUGUCGGCGAUGGAUUCAAUUAUAAAAGAAAAUAUUUUAGUUAUCAUAG